rnacentral:rRNA from 1 species
GGAUGAACGCUGACAGAAUGCUUAACACAUGCAAGUCUAUGGUGAAGUAAGUGCUUGCACUAAUGGAGCCAUGGCGGACGGGUGAGUAACGCGUAAAGAACUUGCCUUAUGGACUGGGAUAACAGUUGGAAACGACUGAUAAGACUGGAUAUAAUUAUACAUUUGCAUGAAUGUGUAAUGAAAAGAGAUGCCAUAAGAGAGCUUUGCGUCCUAUUAGUUAGUUGGUGAGGUAAAGGCUCACCAAGGCGAUGAUAGGUAGCCGGCCUGAGAGGGUGAACGGCCACAAGGGGACUGAGAUACGGCCCUUACUCUUACGGGAGGCAGCAGUGGGGAAUAUUGGACAAUGGAGGGAACUCUGAUCCAGCAAUUCCGUGUGCACGAAGAAGGUUUUCGGAUUGUAAAGUGCUUUCAGUUGGGAAGAAGAAAGUGACGGUACCAACAGAAGAAGCGACGGCUAAAUACGUGCCAGCAGCCGCGGUAAUACGUAUGUCGCGAGCGUUAUCCGGAAUUAUUGGGCAUAAAGGGCAUCUAGGCGGUUAUGCAAGUCAGGGGUGAAAACUUACGGCUCAACCGUGAGCUUGCCUUUGAAACUGUGUGACUAGAGUACUGGAGAGGUGGGCGGAACUACACGAGUAGAGGUGAAAUUCGUAGAUAUGUGUAGGAAUGCCGAUGAUGAAGAUAGCUCACUGGACAGAAACUGACGCUGAAGUGCGAAAGCUAGGGGAGCAAACAGGAUUAGAUACCCUGGUAGUCCUAGCUGUAAACGAUGAUCACUGGGUGUGGGCAUGAAGAGUGUCUGUGCCGAAGCGAAUGCGAUAAGUGAUCCGCCUGGGGAGUACGACCGCAAGGUUGAAACUCAAAGGAAUUGACGGGGACCCGCACAAGCGGUGGAGCAUGUGGUUUAAUUCGACGCAACGCGAGGAACC